UACAGUGGUGCCUCGCAAGACGAAAUUAAUUCGUUCCGCGAGUUUUUUCGUCUAGCGAAUUUUUCGUCUUGUGAAGCACGAAAUCCCAUAGGAAUGCAUUGAAAUUCAAUUAAUGCGUUCCUAUGGUUAAAAAAAGUCCAAACAAAGCCAAAUUUGGUACAACAAGAGUUUAUUAAGUGCUCUUUAAAGUCACACAUACUGUAAAGAGCAUUUCAAAAAUUGAAGGAACAAUAAAUUAAGUUUCUAAACAUGACAGAAAAACAUUUAAAAAUCAACAAAGUGUACAGUACACAGAAAUUCAAACCCAGAUUUUUUUUUAAAAAAAACAGCAGAGUGGCCCAAUGGUCACAGAAAAUCAUAAAAAUGCAGGAAAAAACCACACAAGCUUCCAGAUUCUUGCAAACCCCUCCCCAACUGUUUCCCCAGCCACCCACCACACAGAAAUUCAAAUCCAGAUUUUUU